UCUGCAGUGAUAAUCAACCCAAAAGGGAAGUCUCCUUCAAAUUCUUUCCUGCAUUUAAAAAAAGAGGAAGAAAAAUUCAAAAUCAUGGUAGCAUAGGGCCUCAUUCCCUAGAUCUCCCUGGCAUAACCCAAGGACCUUUUUUUUCUUUUAUCCCGGCAUAACCCGUGGAUCUCCUUGGCAUAANNNNNNNNNNNNNNNNUUUNNNNNNAUCCAAGCAUAACCCGUGGACCUCCCUGGCAUAACCCAAGGACGUUCUUUCUUUUAUCCCGGCAUAACCCGUGGACCUCCCUAGCAUAACCCAAGGACCUUUUUUAUUUUAUCCCGGCAUAACCCGUGGACGUCCCUGGCAUUACCCAAGGACCUUUUUCUUUUAUCCCGGCAUAACUCGUGGACCUCCCAGGCAUAACCCAAGGACCUUUUUUCUUUUAUCCCGGCAUAACCCGUGGAUCUCCCUCGCAUAAUACAAGAACCUUUUUUCUUUUAUCCCGGCAAAACCCGCAGAUCUCCUUGGCAUAACCUAAGGACCUUUUAUCCCGGCAUAACCCGUGGAUCUCCCUAACAUAACUCAAGGACCUUUUUCUUGUAUCACGGCAUAACCCGUGGACCUCCCUGGCAUAACCUAAGAACUUUUUUUCUUUUAUUCUCCCUAGCAUAACCCAAUGACCUUUUUUCUUUUAUCUCGGUAUAACCCGUGGAUCUCCCUGGCAUGACCCAAGGACCUUUUUUUCUUUUAUCCCGGCAUAACCCGCGGACCUCCCUGGCAUAACCCAAGGACU
rnacentral:lncRNA from 1 species